rnacentral:rRNA from 1 species
GACGAACGCUGGCGGCGUGCUUAACACAUGCAAGUCUAACGGAGUGGCGAACGGGUGAGUAACACGUGGGUGAUCUGCCUUGCACUUCGGGAUAAGCGUGGGAAACUGGGUCUAAUACCGGAUAGUGCAAGAUGAGCUCGCGGCCUAUCAGCUUGUUGUUGGGGUAAUGGCCUACCAAGGCGGCGAAGGGUAGCAGGCCGGAGAGGGUGUACGGCCACAUUGGGCCUUGGAUCCGGCCCAGACUCCUACGGGAGGCAGCAGUGUGGAAUAUUGCACAAUGGGCGGAAGCCUGAUGCAGCGACGCCGCGUGGGGGAUGAAGGCCUUCGGUUUGUAACCUCCUUUCGACAGGGACGCGGUACCUGUAUAAGAAGCACCGGCUAACUACGUGCCAGCAGCCGCGGUAAUAC